rnacentral:rRNA from 1 species
GGAUUAGAUACCCUGGUAGUCCUAGCCGUAAACGAUGUAUACUGGAUGUAGGAAGGCUCAACCCUUUCUGUAUCGGAGCUAACGCGUUAAGUAUACCGCCUGGGGAGUACGCUCGCAAGGGUGAAACUCAAAAGAAUUGACGGGGGCCCGCACAAGCAGUGGAGCAUGUGGUUUAAUUCGAUGCUACGCGAAGAACCUUACCUGGGCUCGAAAUGUAGAGGACGAUGCUAGAGAUAGCAUUUCUCGAAAGGGUCUCUAUAUAGGUGCUGCAUGGCUGUCGUCAGCUCGUGCCG